rnacentral:rRNA from 1 species
CAGUAGCCGCGGUAAUACGAAGGGGGCUAGCGUUGCUCGGAAUUACUGGGCGUAAAGGGAGCGUAGGCGGAUCGUUAAGUUGGGGGUGAAAGCCCGGGGCUCAACCUCGGAACUGCCUUCAAUACUGGCGAUCUUGAGUAUGAGAGAGGUGUGUGGAACUCCGAGUGUAGAGGUGAAAUUCGUAGAUAUUCGGAAGAACACCAGUGGCGAAGGCGACACACUGGCUCAUUACUGACGCUGAGGAGCGAAAGCGUGGGGAGCGAACAGGAUUAGAUACCCCCGUAGUCCCUGUCUCUUAUAC